CCUGCAUCAGGACCAGGCUUGUGCAUUGGACUGUGCCAGAGAGAAAACAAAGAUAAAUAUCUGAGUGUCAUUUCAAAGCUGCAGGAUUUGUAAGGACUCAAGAAUAACGCAGAGUUAGCGGAUUUUCUCCUGGACAAAUUCAAGGCAAAGAGCCGCGAGUCUUUCCUCAAAGCUGAAAAUUGCAGCUGUGUGCCCACUUGAGACCAAAUCAUCUCAUCAGAUGCCGUGCACUGAGUUUCAACAGGUAAUGGUGACAAAGCUCAGAUAACUCUGGAAGCUCUGCACCGCUGUUCCCAGAGACAAAGAAGAUGAAGACGGCGUGUGAUGGAAGCCAAAGUAAAAUGUGUGUUAAGAUGAGCAUUAACUCGAUGGAGACCGCUCCGGUGGUGCUAUGUGUUUCCCUUACCACUGGAACUUGAAACCAUCUAUGCUAGAAGAUGGUUUAAAAAAGGCAUUUUUUCUACAAGCUCACCGUCAGUCACCCCUGGCAGAACUGCAGGCGUGAGCCUCGCUAGCCGUGAACAGAGCGUUGUUGAAAUCACACCCUACUGUGGCUGCAAACAUUACACCGGGUUUCUCACCCCGACUUCUGCA